rnacentral:rRNA from 1 species
CAAUUUAAACAACGAAGAGUUUGAUCCUGGCUCAGGAUGAACGCUAGCGACAGGCUUAACACAUGCAAGUCGAGGGGCAGCGGGGGUAGCAAUACCCGCCGGCGACCGGCGCACGGGUGAGUAACGCGUAUGCAACUUGCCUAUCAGAGGGGGAUAACCCGGCGAAAGUCGGACUAAUACCGCAUGAAGCAGGGGUCCCGCAUGGGGAUAUUUGCUAAAGAUUCAUCGCUGAUAGAUAGGCAUGCGUUCCAUUAGGCAGUUGGCGGGGUAACG